AAUGGCCUACUCCUGCACCUAUUUUCUAUGUUUCUAUUUUAAGAGCUUGCCUGCACCAUUCAGUAUGAGUGGCUGCUAGGAACUGUAAUGUCCUGCAGAUCGAUGCUGUAAGUAGAUCUAAUAAACAUGUGUUGUAUCUUGAUUUGUGUUUGACUCCACUCAUUACAUGGUGUCAGAGAGUGAGUCUUACCUACUCCGUUCACGUUUAUCGGGUUUUGUUUUUUUAAUUAGUUUAUGUGCCAGUUAUCUCUAUCAUGGCAAAUUCAUCUCGCCGUCCUAGUCCUCUGAUCUUUGACCCUGACAUUGCUGAACGCUGGCAUCUUUUCGAGCGUGACUACACUCACUAUGUUCGCAUCGUUCAUCGCAACGACCCCCCCGAUGUGCGUGCUUCUGUAUUGCUCAACCUAGUGGGACCUGAGGUAAUGAAUCGUGCCGACAAUGUUACAUUUGAGCCUGCCGUUUUGGAUGCUAAUGGACAGGUCCUAGUGCCUGCAGAGA